rnacentral:rRNA from 1 species
UACGGAGGGUGCAAGCGUUAUCCGGAUUCAUUGGGUUUAAAGGGUGCGUAGGCGGAAUAAUAAGUCAGAGGUGAAAGUUUGCGGCUCAACCGUAAAAUUGCCUUUGAAACUGUUAUUCUUGAGUACAUUUGAGGUAGGCGGAAUGUAGUGUGUAGCGGUGAAAUGCUUAGAUAUACUACAGAACACCGAUUGCGAAGGCAGCUUACUAAACUGUAACUGACGCUGAUGCACGAAAGCGUGGGGAUCGAAC